AUACGUAGGGCGCGAGCGUUGUCCGGAAUUACUGGGUGUAAAGGGAGCGUAGGCGGGCCUGCAAGUCAGAUGUGAAAUACCGGGGCUUCACCCCGGAGCUGCAUUUGAAACUGUGGUUCUUGAGUGAAGUAGAGGCAAGCGGCAUUCCUGGUGUAGCGGUGAAAUGCGUAGAUAUCAGGAGGAACACCGGUGGCGAAGGCGGCUUGCUGGGCUUUUACUGACGCUGAGGCUCGAAAGCGUGGGUAGCAAACAGGAUUAGAUACCCUGGUAGUCCACGCUGUAAACGAUGAUUACUAGGUGUGGGGGGACUGACCCCUUCCGUGCCGCAGUUAACACAAUAAGUAAUCCACCUGGGGAGUACGGCCGCAAGGUUGAAACUCAAAGGAAUUGGCGGGG
rnacentral:rRNA from 1 species